GGGGGGCUUAAAUGCAGGUCGAGCGAGCUUGCCUAGAUGAUUUUAGUGCUUGCACUAAAUGAAACUAGAUACAAGCGAGCGGCGGACGGGUGAGUAACACGUGGGUAACCUGCCCAAGAGACUGGGAUAACACCUGGAAACAGAUGCUAAUACCGGAUAACAACACUAGACGCAUGUCUAGAGUUUGAAAGAUGGUUCUGCUAUCACUCUUGGAUGGACCUGCGGUGCAUUAGCUAGUUGGUAGGGUAACGGCUUACCAAGGCAAUGAUGCAUAGCCGAGUUGAGAGACUGAUCGGCCACAUUGGGACUGAGACACGGCCCAAACUCCUACGGGAGGCAGCAGUAGGGAAUCUUCCACAAUGGACGAAAGUCUGAUGGAGCAACGCCGCGUGAGUGAAGAAGGGUUUCGGCUCGUAAAGCUCUGUUGGUAGUGAAGAAAGAUAGAGGUAGUAACUGGCCUUUAUUUGACGGUAAUUACUUAGAAAGUCACGGCUAACUACGUGCCAGCAGCCGCGGUAAUACGUAGGUGGCAAGCGUUGUCCGGAUUUAUUGGGCGUAAAGCGAGUGCAGGCGGUUCAAUAAGUCUGAUGUGAAAGCCUUCGGCUCAACCGGAGAAUUGCAUCAGAAACUGUUGAACUUGAGUGCAGAAGAGGAGAGUGGAACUCCAUGUGUAGCGGUGGAAUGCGUAGAUAUAUGGAAGAACACCAGUGGCGAAGGCGGCUCUCUGGUCUGCAACUGACGCUGAGGCUC
rnacentral:rRNA from 1 species